GAGAGAUGUAAUGUUCUCAUCUGAACAGCAGAUGGAAACAGUGACCUAGUGUUGUAAAAAUGAGAACGGGUGGAUCCUAUACUUUGAUGAUGAAUCUUAUCGUUAUUCAGGUAGUAUUACGUCAUUUUAAUUGGAUUGUGGGAGUUGCUGCAUUUGUGUAAAAAGAUGCAGACAUGAGCUUUACUUGACUGGCUUCUCUAUUUGUUUCUAUUUUUAAAUCUAUUUUUUUAAUUAAUGAAUUCAUUUUCUUAUAUUAGUUUUUCCGCCUCAGAAUUGACGCACAGUAUUUUGCCACACUUAUCGCCUCCUCCGUCGCUCACCCGGCCUGGCUCCGCAUCCCGACGAGCGCGUCCGCGCGUCGAUGACGUCACCCGGCGUGACGCGCCUCCGCGGAGGCAAUUACACGCACAAGGAACGCAUUUGCCACGAGCGCCGUUUGCAAUGAAUAACGAAGAGCGGCGAAAGUGGAAACGCGUGACGAGGGAGUCGAGGUGAGCCGCGGUGGUGCGUUCAAAGACGCGGCGGCCGCAAACGAGCGGAGGUCAAGCGUCUGAGAAGGCUCUGCUGUCCGUCCAACUGUCAAUCACACACGGCUGCUAAUGAGCCAACGCUCUGCACGUUUCUCGUCGUGUCUACAAUGCAACGUUACUGGUUUACUUCCACUCACCUCCGGCCUCUCAGCCUCCGACUCUGCCCAGCGGAACUGGUCCAGCCUCCUAAUCAGCCCCAGUGGCUUCACCUGUGCCUCCCACGCUGCCACCCGGCUCCUGUCAUCGCCGCUGUCAUCUGCCUUUUUUCACCUUCUCACACCACCAUCACACUGGUUUCAUCCCAGCUACCGACCAUCUGCUCUACCACACAACUGCAUGCGAGUGUCAAGCUGUUGAGCAACCAGCUUGAUCGUCCCAGAUGUUGGACGCCCACCAAGCACAUCGCAUGCUCCUCAUCAACACUGUUUACUGAUGGAGCCCCAGGGAAAUUCACACCAAUAUUUAGCCAAAUAUUUUUUUUUGUCCCUGUCAAACCUUCGAAAACAGCUCAUUACAAAUUGUCCCCGAUGUUUCCUCACUCUCACUGCUCAAAGUCUGAAAUUGAAUAAAGGUGUCCAAUAUUGGUGCCUCAUUGGGAUUAUAAAUGGGACACAUUAUACAGAAGGACAUACUGUAUACUGUACAUCCUGGCACGAGUUCCACCUUACUAAUUUAACAGAGUGAUGCCUCAAAGAGUCCUAUACUGAGUCAAAAACAUGGCUCUACAGUAUAUUAUUAUUAUUAUUAUUAUUAUAUACUGUACACCUACAGUAAUUGGUGAAAUAGUUCACUAGUAUGUUCUAGUAAGUGUAAUUAAAAUGUUGAACAAUUACACUGUCGACUAUAAAUUGCACAUUACCUGGUUAAUACAAACCUCUUUUGGAUUCUACUGUUUGUGUUGCAGCUUUUCUGCCUUUUGAUUGCAAAACUGGGCUGGAAUGAGUCUUUGUCCCCAGAGCCGGGGAAGAGCAGGCUUUCAGCAGUGAUGGGCUGUGAGCCAAAACAAACCUCCUAAAUGGACACACACUGAGCUUUCUUUAUCACAGCUUAGAGGACGGCAGAACCUCUCCCUCAGUCUCAGAUGGCUUCAACAGACCAAAGAAAUGUGCACAUUCCCCAUUUCCUCAAUGCAAACGUAACCAUCACCAGUUCAUCCAAAUCACCCGUUCAUCCUCGCAACGGAGAGAAGUGAACACGCCUGCACCAAAACAUCCACACAUACUGUAUAGUUGGAGUCCUGUGUUUGACUGUAUUUAUGUCGGUUCCUUGCUCUUGCUCCUAUGCAUCAGUUGCAGAUUCUGUUGUUUGUGUUUUAUAAAAUCCAGCUUGAAGCCACUUUUCAUCACCGUAUCUGUGUUCUCGCACAGUUCUGCCAAAUCAGUGGGUUUUGAGCCGGAGUCCAAGAAUUCAAACUGCUUUUAUGCAAAACCAUUAUGGUGUGCUGCUUUAUUUUGACUCGCAUUGUUUAAGACACAUGCAGAGAAACGGUCGGUUUGGAGCUGUAAUGUGCAGUAAUCAACAGAGCAUCCGAUAAAGCGACCCCACAUCUCACUGACAAACGGACAACAGAGGUUCCUUAGAGGAACGAAGCGGAACGUGGCGUACUUGCUUGUGAGAAGCUGGUGCUGCCAUAUUUCCACACAUUCAGACUUUUCCUGUGAAAUGUAAAGUUGCUGUAAUGACAGGUUCCCAGAACUUCGUGUCCCAACGUACCAGAUGCUGACGUUGGUCCAAUCGUGGCAACUGCAUAAACGUAAUUCUGAACAGACUCUGUAACCAAGUAGCAAAAGUUAGUCAAGUGUCCUUGGACCAGCUGCCGCUUGAUUGUAUUGCUCACAAGAAAUAUUAGGUAAGACGCAGAACAAAGAGAAGACUCUGAAAGACUUGAAUCCAAGAUGUUGUCUUUAUCCAUAUUCUGCACUGGACAGUAAAAGCUUUGGAGGAGUUCUAGCUUUGCGGGGUUGUUCCUCUUAAAUUAAUCACAUUUAAAUUUUGUCCAAAAGUAAAGCAUUCCAGGAUUUACCAAAUGAUAUCCUGUUACACUGCUGGCUCCAGCAUCCAAGCUUGUCUCCAAGUACAGAGCGUCUGCCACGGCUUCUUCUCAGUUUUGUUAAAAAGCAAAAGGUGCCAAGAACAAUAUAAACAAAGUGUUCCAGUUCCUUGACUCCAUCUUGCUAAAUGACACACAUGCGUGUGUCUCAGGGACACACGCAUGUGCUGCUUUUUUAGUAUUCUCCCCAAAACUGCCUUAAAUUUGGAUUUAUAAUGCCACAGAAUUGAUGCCAGUUACAGCCAUUGUAGCUGGCAUGAGUUAUUUCUUUAUCCUCAGUCUAAAGCAGUGAUUCUCAACUGGUGGGUUGCUGGAAUUUUAUUUAUUUAUAAAUAGAUAAAUAUGUUCCUGUUCAUCUCCUUGUGUCUUCUCUCGCACGUCCUCAGAAGCGCUCCCUUAAAAACUGCUACUCAAGAAUCUGAAUUUCUCCAUAAUGCAGUGUCACAGAUUCAGUGAGUAUUCUCAGCAACAUCGUUUCAGUGAAUGUGUUUUAUGUGGAAACACAUACAUUCUAUAAUAUUUGGAAAAAUAUUGCUGAAAUCUUCUGAUAUGAUUAAAUGCAGUUGAGAAGUUUACUCGAUUUGUUGUCGUUAAGGGGUAAUGGUGGGUCACGAAGCUAGACCAGUUGAGAACCACUGGUCUAAAGUAUUGCCGCACUAAUUAGGUAUUAGUUUAGUUUAUUAGAUUAGUUUGUGCUCUUCAAAUGAAUAAUACACAACCCAAUGCUACAUGGUGUAGUUUUGUUCACACAUGAUUAGUUACUACAGUGAGAAAUAUAACAGGUGAGUCGUACAGUAACGGUUAACACAUUUGUUGGUUUUGUGGACAUGCUACACCUGUUAGCAUUAGCCCAAGGACAGGGUUAAAGGCCAAAGGUCAUACUUGUAUGAGGUGCAGGGGAAUAUAAAAGAGCAUAUAAUAUAGCAGGUAUGUGCUCUAUUAUUACAGGGCCUUUAGGAUUGGUUGAGAAUGUGCUGUAUCACCCGCAGGUUGCACAUUUUGAACAUGACAUCGAUUUAAUCAGCCCUCUUCACCGUCUCGUUCAUUUCUUCCGUCAGUGUGACGUUCCCUGGAGGUUUGGCUCUAAAGGAGGUUCCCCCAUCAAACAUCUGCUCCGGCUUUUCUCGGCUGGAAGCAGAUUUGAGUCUCGUUGCUGCUUUUUAUUUUUUAUUUUCUUUCUUUUUUUAUCCAACAACUGGGAGAGAACUCAAGCAGCUCAGGCAGUUAUCUGAUUACAAUGAGUGAAAUGGCACAGAACACCCCAAUUUGGUUUUUGAACACAACUUAAGAGGAAACUUAAGUACCAGUCUAAAAGAGCAGCACAAUCUGCCCAUUUAUCUCCAUAGUCUCUAUCCAAUUAAUUAUGAUCUUUGAUAAACGCAAAAUAUGAGAUGUUGGGAUGAUCAGAUACAAUUUUUGUAUUUGCAACAUUUAUUUAACAGUGUUUGUUUAUGUACAUGUAUGUUUUAGAUUGUCCAAACUGUAUCAUCAGCUAAAUGUGACCUUGGUGUCAUAGUCACAAAGGUCCCUACAAAGUUAUUAUUUCUUGUCUUCCUAACAAUAAAAAUCCUAUUAUGGUAAAGAGGGUUAAAAGAAACUAAAGUUUAAAUGUUCAGUGGCCAAAACCCUCAGACAAUUGGCUUCUAUUAUGGGAUGUGUACUCUAGCUCUGGUGUAGAACUUGAAUAUUAGACUGGGUUUAAAGAUAACAACGUGAACUCAUGCUCAUAUUGCAGAUACAACAGUGCUGUAGAAGAACAACAGAUGCCACAAGAAAUUCAAAGGAAAUCACUGAAAUAUUAAACAGUCAAUUCCGAAAGCAAUUUAAUGCAUGAGAUGAGCUUUGUGUCCCAGAAAUGAUGACGUUGGUACCAGAUGUGUGUACGGUGUCAACCGUAUGAUGACCCCUGAAAUCGGGGCAUGAUAUGGUGGCGACAUACUUCCUGUAAUCUGGUGAAGCUGGAGCCAGAACUGUUGACGGCGUACAGGUCAGAGGUGUGUUUUCCCAGAAAAGAUCCCAGAGUUAAAGUAUCUGUUUUACAUGUAGCCAUGAUAAGCUGUGUUUUAUAUUAUAAUAUUAAAAAAAAGCUUACGUGGCUGAAAGCAGGAAGUUAUGAAUCACGAACUGGGAAAAGGUUUUAGUUUAUAAUCUUUAUUUCAGUGGUAGAUUAAGUUUUUAUUUGAAGUUAAUACUGUUGGUUUAACUUUUAGCUUCAUCAGUAACUUUCCCAUUAGUAUUCUGAAAAAAUACAGGAAUGGGUACAGUAGGUGAUUGGUUUUGCUUGUUUUCCUCUGAAAACCUCCAGUGUGGUUUAGGAUGUGAUGCAUGCCUGGAGCUGGUGAACGGUAGUAAUAGGCGAGUGUUCUUCAAAGCAGCUCUGCAGCUUAAGGGCGUAUUAGAAACAGGUCAGCAGGCAGUGAAUCACUAGAAAAUGAAGUGGACUUAGGCAACAGGCCUGCAGGCUUGUACUCAUCUGUGUUCGGAUAGUUUAUCCUGUUUGACUUCCUGAGAAAUCAGAUUCCAAUCAAGUGAAGUUGGACUUUGUGGGAAAUGGCUCUGAGCUGCCAAUUCCAGGUCUUAGUGGCCUCAGUCUGGCCGUUCAAGGACAGUCAGAGACUUACUUUGGCUUUGGUGCUGACGGGUGAACAGUCAUCCUGGGCUCAGGUUGCAUUAUGUUUUUUUUUAAAGAACUUUGGCAUCAGUUGUUAAAUAUGUGCUAAGUCACUGGUUAAUGUGUGUAUGUGUGGCCUCCACUGUAACAUGCAACCAUAAGCAUACAGCUUUGUACAUUUGAAGAUGGAAUAAAAAUCAAAAGUUGAGUUUUGAAACAACAUACAGUAUGAAAAAGUUAACAAAUGGGAACUAGAAAAGUACUUUGCUGCAUUAGUAAAAUGCAGAAUCCUGUUGAAAUUGCAGCUCAUGGCUGAUGAAUGUGGCUGGUGGUAUGUUCAAGUGCUGAUGGAAUUCACCGUAAACCAGACCACACAGUGCUAGACGCUGAAGUGUAAACCUCACCAGACCUUUUUAUGUAGUCUUUGUGUAUUAGUGGUGAGUCAGCAUUCAUUUUAUUACAACAUCCUGUGGUCAUUGAACGCCCCACUGAACAGCUGAUGAUGAUGAUGCAUUUUUUCACAGUGAGUGUCGACAAACAGUGGCAUGGACCAAUAAAUCACUUCAGACAAGCUCUGUAUCAGGGUUAUUGUAUUACUUCCUAGAAUGUAUAAAUAACAAAUAAUGGUAUUGGUUUCCUAGUAUGGACUUUAUAUAGCAACAUUUGAAUGUUUACAUUGUUCAUUUAGCUAGCGAUUAGCUUAGCAUUUAUCAUUCGUUGCUCAUAACUUACCAUCUAUACUAGCUAGCAUGCUUUGGCACUAUCCUUCGAUUCCUUAGGAUCCCAGCAUUGAGUUGAGCCAUAGAUCAUUACAGUAGGUUUGGAUAAAGUAUCGUAGAAUUAGAGCCACAAAUGUGUCAUGGGCUAACAUUAGCAGCUAAUGCAGGGGGCGCUAAAUGUCAUCAGUUAUUGUCACGUUAUUUUGUUUUUUUACUAAGGCUGUGUUUCAUACACCCAAAAGACAUCCAUAUAGUGCUGUAGCCCAUGUUCUACUGAUUAUUCUAUGUUAGAUAUGUCUUUAUUCAGUCAAAGGGAUCCAGUGUGGACCAUUUCUCCAGACUGGAGACUGGAAUGUCAAACUGGAAGACGUGGGAGUAGGAGCGAGGGGAAGAUGAGUUGGUGUCUUCCAGCUUCUGAAUAACUGAGCACAUCUGGUUCAGCUGUGAAUAGGGCAGUGAUCCUUGAGCAUUAAUCUAGAGUCAGAUGGCUGCAGUUUACCGAAUGAUCUGAUGGGGGCAGUAGAGGACUAUGUAAAAGCCACGGGCAAGAAACGUGUGUUGCAACACUUCUGUUACAGGAAGGAGUUAAUUAGAAGCAGUAAAUAAGUGGGCAUUGACAUCAUACGCUCCUUAUUUGAGUUUUGCUGUUACACUUUUAUCAGAGUGUCUUGUCUUCUAAUAUUUCAUCGGGUACAAGGCUGCACUAACUGGACGCUACAGCUGUAGCAGAACACACACACACACACACACACACACACACACACACACACACACACACACAC